CGGACAUGUUCGGCUUUUUGUGAAUUCCCCCUGGACGGGGAUUUGAGGACCAAAAAGCCGGACAUGUCCGGGGAUAUCUGGACGUAUGGUAACCCUAGUGUCCCCAGUAUAACGCUAGCAGUGGGAAUAGCUCGGCAGAGCGCCCCUGUGUUUUUUCUACUUCCUACCAGUAGAAAAUUGACUCCUAUGAGUUUGCAACAAUUGAAGUUAAAUCUUCUGCCUUGUAACACCCCUCUCUUGUUGUUCACUUCCAGCAGCACAUCGUGCAGAGAAAGCGACACUGCAGGGUGAACUCAAGUGGAGAAUCGCCCUACUAAACGCAGGUUGGGAGAAACCUGCAUAUUGUCGGGCUAACUGUGCUGUGAAAUGUGAUCUGUCACAACCCCACCGCCCCCGGGAGCCCCCUGCUCCUUUUCUUUGGAGAAGUGCUGAAUAACGAGAGACUAUUUCCCCUGGGCUUCACCUUCCCAGGGUGGUACCUGGGUCGUGCCUCACAGACAUUAUCUCAUCUAACCUUAAUAGGCCUUAAACUGCUCAGAUCUCCCCUCCCAACAGCAGGGGUUGCAUGUCAUACAGGUCUGAAAGCUGCAAUUCCCAUCUGUAAUAACAGGAAGAGCUAACAGCUGUUCGGUGUCUCCAUGGCUCUGGGGUGAGGCAGGCCCUGGCCCCACUGCAGGGGCAGGUGUUUUUAGAACCAGAUUGUGACGCUCACGGACAAGUAAAACUGCCUCCGCGGCAGCGUUUC